GCUACACUAGUUAGCCUAACAGGAUGAUGCUAGUAAGGUGGAAGAGGAAGGCAGUUUUGCAUAAGAGGAGUCCCUGUACACCCAGAGCAACUCACUCUCCUUCUCAACAAACCCAAGUUGAUGCAGCCAUGCCAUUCACAAAAGGCCCUGUGAUUCUCACUACAGUCAUUUUCCUUUUAUCAGGUGUCCUUGGUCAGGGCGACUGGAGUGUGACAUACCUCUCAACCAGCAUCUGCGGUUUAAAGGGGUCAUUUGUGGACAUUCCCUGCACUUACUCAUAUCCAAGAAAUCUAAAAAU